GGGUUAUUUGGUACAAUGCAUCUGUGAUCCAUCAGAAGCUUUCAGCCUUACUGACAUCCUCUAAUGGCACAGCUCAAUAGUAUUUUAAGAAGCAUAACUGCUUUGUGUAGAACAAAUAGAAGCUUAUUUUAGUAGAACUCCCAGAAAGGACUCUUCUCCCAUUCCUCUCAGGUGUUUUUCAGUGCCCAGCUUCUUUAUGGAACAGACAGAUUACCUGAAAGAGCCUAUCCAUUCCCAUUUCCAGCCUCUUGGGCUUCUGUUAAGUUCUGUUACUGCUUAGGGAAAUCCACUGAAUAGGAGAGAAGCGAUGGUGAUCAGUGCUGUGAUGAGCAGAUCAGGCUGCACAAAUGUGGAAGUGCUGUUUCUGAUCACAAACCUCUUCUGGACGUGCUCUUCCAGAAGGUACAGAUCACAGAAUCAUAGAACCAUGUGAGUUGAAGGGGACCUUUAAAGGCCCCAUCCUCAAGCUGUGUAACAGAAGAUAUUAUACUGCAAUGCUUCACAAAACAAUACAAUCUUAGGUUAGCAGAUUUGAAUGCCAAUGACUUAAUCUUGCUUUAAAACCUGGAUUCAUUCGCUGACAUCUUAAUUUUACAUUUCAAAGCUUGCAAAAUAAUCACGGCAUCUUGAGGUGAUGCAGUGCAUCUUCUGGAUUUUAAUGGGAAGUGCUUUAGAAGGAAGAUUCCUUCCAUGCCAGCCAGGGCACCCAUUCAGCCAAAAGGAGGAAUGUAAUCCACAGUUAAAACAAAGCAGAUCAAGCAGCCACACAAACACAGAUCCACUGAAGAGACAAACAUCUGCAUACAAUAAAAACAACUCCACGGCUCCCUUUCACAUACAGAAAAACCAUUUGCAUUUUAGAAGCAUCUCGCAUGGUGAAAGCACAGGAGGGCAGAGAAGCUGGAAUGAUCUCUGUGGUGUGGCCACACACAUCUGCAACAGAGCACAGCGCAGCUACAGACAUGCAGACUGAAAUCCUGAUAAGAUCAACUAAACAGAAGUGCUUUUAUUCUUGCCUUCCUGCGCCGCUAUUAAGAAGCCAGGCUAAUUAGGAGCUAUUUCUUUCUGCACAUAAUUAUCUAUUUACGCACAAUUUUUUUCCAAUAUGACUAUGUUUGUUUCUGUAUUUAUAAAUGAAGUUUGCAUGUAGGCGAGAAAACAUUACCUUCAUACCAAACCAAACACAACAAUCCACCUCACUGGGAAUUUGGCCAUCUGUUACACAUUCUGAUCUUAUCAUGAUUUUGCUUCACUUCACAAAUGCAAAAGCAUUCCUGCUUUGAGGGCUCGGAUUUGCACAUUCUCACGGAGGCCCACAGACUGUUCCACCCCACGGGCACAGAACCAACCCCGCUACAUGGAGUGCUUGCAGCCAUACACAGCAUAAAGAAAACACAAGGAGGGAUGCAGUGCCCCAGAAGAAACAAAUUCAACCACACACGGACGCAACUGAAACGUCACCCUGCUGAACACAGACCUCUGCACACCUGAUGUUGGCAGAAACUGAGGACAGAGAUGAUUCUGAAAGCCGCAGUGUAAGAAGUGACACAGAAUAACUCAGACUGGGGAUAAAUUAAUAACAGGCUUUGACACCAGAGGCAGAAAGGAUUAUUUCUGAAGUGUUCUUGUGCAAAGUGAUGCUUGCCUGCGUUUGUCAGAGGACCUGCAGUUCUGGCUCAGGACACAACCACGUAUAGCAGCCGUCCCAGCUCCUUGCACUGCCUGGGAUAAGCACUCUGUGCUGUCUGCACCUUUCCUCUAGUGGAAAAAAACUCCUGCAUGAAGAAACAAUUUAGCAGUGUCUGCUAACUCCCUGUAACAACCACAUUUCGUGCUCUCAAUCCCAGUGCCUAUUUCCCAUCACCUCCCUGCUCACCCUGGCACUGCAGCAGUUAGCAGGUGCAUGUUAUUAGGUUAUCCCCAAACAGAUGCACGCAGGCCACUGGAGUGGGUGAUGGCUACAGAGGCAUGAGCAGAUAAUGGUGCUUUUGCAGAGAACCACACUCACCAGUAAGAACUCCCAGAUCAAAUGGGGAAUGGUCAAUCCCACAGCUGUCAAAGCACUAUGAGUAAACAGUAUUAUAAAGCAGAAAACAAGACAUCCUUCUUUUACAAUACCUCCUGCAUCUAAUAGAACUUCUUUGCCUUAAAAAUAGAACUUAGAAAGUUUAGAAGCUGUUCAGAAAAGCUUGGCACGUGAAAGUGACUGCCAUUCCCUAUGGAUUUCAAUUUUUGGACCACUGUUUUUUUCUAUUGCCAUUGCUGUGAUCACAAUGCCCUGGUCAGGCAACAGAAAAGGGAAAGAGAAUUUGACCCAAGUGAAAGGCAAAGCAAGAAAAUACACAGCGUGCUUUAAGCCAAAGAAAAAGAUCAAAUUGCUGCUGUGAAGCAGAAUCCCAAGGUAUUACCAGAUACACAGCAGCCACUUCCAGUGCACUGCAUCAACCUUGAAAGGUGAAACAAGCCCAGGAUCAGCACUGCCUCACCAAACUCAGGCUGCUGAGGGAGACGGUUCCAAAAGCAUUUCCUCCCCCCACACUCUGCUCCCUCCCCAUCUCCUUCAGGCUCCAGCUCCUCUUCAGUGCUGUGCAUUUUUUAUUUCAAGUGUCCUUUGCAGCAAAACAAAAAGAAGCCACGUGUGGCAAUACAGACACUGCAUUAGGUUCAGUUUAGCAGCAGCAGAAGACAGAACGUGGAUACUGUCAGGGUUUAUGACCAACACACAGCAGCUCUGUGCUGCUGCACUUUGCCUGCUCCAUUUGCUGUGCCCAGGCCCUGUUCUGACACUGGGCUCGCUGACAAAGCACAGGCCAAAUUUCUCCAAAAGGAAAUAACCUCACAGAACACAAGCUGGGAGGUAAGGUUAAAAUGACUCUGCAUAACCUCUGGCCAUGGACACAGCUGGAAGCCAAGUGAAGACUUGCACUGCCAAGCAGAAAGAUGCUGGUUCAUUACAAAUGUGGCUGCUUCACUUACAGAAAAAGAUGGGAGCAUUUUUCUCCUCAAAUUAACACAACACCAGGGGAAAGACUCCCAGAGAUGCACUGUGCCACGUGCAGCCCAGGGAGUCCACAGCCACAGCAAUGGUGCAACACAAUCCUCACCUCAGAGCAGAGCAGAGUGGGUGCUGGGAGGGGCAGAGCAGUGACACACGACCUGUGAUGCUUCUGCACUCCAAAGGCUUCCAGCAAACGACUGGAUCUCUCUUUCAGACUCAGAAGUGAGAAGUUAGAGGCACAUUAAGUAUUUCCAAGAGUGCUGAAGCUUGUGGCUCCUCUGCAAACAAAGCUAUUCUGCAUCACGCUGGAUUUAACCCCAAAUAAAAUUACUCUGGCCACUCUGUAGGCAUGCAUAGCUAGCAGCAACAGCCCUCGUGCCCCUCUGCACAGCAGCAUGAAGCUGCACCAGAUGUGUGCAGCUGCAACUGGGCACAGCUCAUGGACCCACACCUGGAUCCCACUGCAUGAGCUGCAUGGGGCUGCUGGUGCUUGGCAACACUGAGGGUUACCCCAGGAGUCUCAGCACAGGUCAUAGGCCUUUUGGUGUUAAUAAGCAGUGGAAAGUAGAAUCUGAUUUGCAAUAACAUUUAUUAAUGAUAAAUGUACAUAUUUACAAAGAAAAAUCUGAGAAAAAAUACAAAGCCAAAAAAGUGUUCCAAAAGAGAGCAUUGUAGUUAAAAAGAAAGUAAUCUUAGUCCCCACAAACUGAUCCAACACUACCAUGUACCACUGCUAGAAGGUCACAGAGGGGCACAAAUCACUGCCCCAAGAACAGACAGCCUUUACCCAGAGCUUGCAGCCCUUCCCUCCAGUGUUAUAAACCAAGAGAUGCCAACAGGGAGACAUGAGAAAGCACCACAUCAGGGUCUCCCAUGUCACCAGCAGGAGUAAGCAGAGACCUAACAUCUCCAAACGAAUCAGUAACCUCCCUGCUUUGGGAUACAUUUUUCUGGAAAGCAUCCUACCUCAGUCUGCGUAUCACAACAGGCACAAUCAACUCACAGCCACAAAAAGAAACCCAAUGAAACUGGAAUCAUCUCAGAGUGAUGAAUCGCCAACGCUUAAACAAACUGAAAGAUGCUUCAUCUAGAAAUUUCCUGAGGAACCCCAAGGUGCAGAUAUGGUAAGGGCAGUCUGACCUCAUUCCUACAAAGGAGGAAUGCCAAGAAACUCAUUUCUCCCCUUUAUUCCAGGACUGGAGGUAAAUACUGAGCACCUACCCUGUAUCCUUGCCAUUUGCUGUAUAAACUGCAUGGAAGGGAAACUGCUCCUAUCCUUAAUUCCAAGUCCCAGCACAUCUUCUCAUAGAGAAUCCUCAGUUCGUUGUCCAUUAACCCACUGGGCAAAGCAGCACACAGCAGGAGGUACAGACAGUACCAGCUGUCCUUCAGUAACGGAAAAGAAAACAUGGCCACUUUAUGUCAAAGCAUGAAAGCCCAAGAAACUAUUCUGCCUUUUAUCCGGAGAUCAGAAAAGCUGAUAUCAGGGUAAGAAGACUCAGAAAGUCAGCAGAGAGCCAACCACCAGCUCCGGGAUGGAAACAGAGGAAGGGGCUGAACCUCAGCUGGUCCCUUAGCGCAGCCAUUGGGACCCACAUGUGAGCACCAAUGAGUCCCACUGCAGCAAGGCAGGCUGCAAAGCAUUGGGAAAGUCUAUUGAACAGCAACACUGCUGGCAGUCCCAUAGCAGUCGUGUUUCUGGCGUGUCAGAGUCACUGAGAUGUCACUUUCUGCAGCACCUCAUGCUGAAGAAUCAGCAUUUCCCAUGUAAACAGGGAUGAGGUUAUCUGCAGAUAUUUUCAGCUUCCUUUUGGAAGUAAGAAUCGCAUGGGCUGUCAGUACUUUGCAGCACGUUUGUUCCUGAGGAAGAAGUGAGCUCAGUACACGUAAGUUCCUUAAUGAAAACCUGAGACCUCUGCCCUUACACUAAGCCAGAGGGUCCAGAGCCCUGCAGCCCUCCUGCAGUGCCGUGCCUCAAACGGGCAUCCAGCAAAUGCAGCGAGUGCAGGAGUCACCCAGCACAGCACAAUGCACACCAUACACAUAACACACGAAAACAAGACCCUAGCAGGUUGCUUCAGGGCACUGCUGUAGCUCCAUCUGCCAUACAAGCAAACAGAGAAGAGGAAGAAGUGGCUGGAAGAGCAGGCUGGAGCACAACGGACUGCAGACAUUCCCAAAACACACCUCAGCAUCAGCCAGGGAGUGUUUCUGCUCUUGAUAAGCUCCCUCCACAAAAGACCAUACCCACCUGAAGGAAUACAGACAACUGGCCCCUACGCUGCCCUAGAAAUACAAAGCAUUGGUUCAGUUUCUUUAAGCUCUUCAACGAUAACUGUUCAGUAAACUCCAAAAAAUGUACCUGAACAUUCUCUCAACGUACAGUUUAAGGGGUUGUUUUUUGUGCUGAUAAUAUCCAGCCAUAUCUCAAAGUUCAACAACAAAAUGCGAGAGAGAGAAAUCAUCUUAAUUAAAGAACUGAGCUGCAAUGGCCAACAGAGUGCAUCUCUCAGCACUCUGGAAGAAGAUCACCCUGAGCAGAGUUCAAACACUGCACCAGGCAAAGCUUUCAGACUUCAGGUCCUUUGGAAAUGGCAGGCAGACAGCAACUAAAAGCCUCUGCUGUGGCUUCAGAGUAUUUAUCAUCAGCUCAGAAAGACAGUGGGCAAUAACCCAAGCAGCUCUCAGUGACCGCUAUCCCAAGCAAUGGCUUUUGGAAGGAAGCAGGAGGUGCGUGGUUAAUUCUUCUCCAUGAAAAAUGGACAGAACACACAGAGGAAGAACAAAACAUUCCCUGUCCCUUCGUGCUGUGGAGGAUGAAUGGCUCCCACAUCUCGUUAUUCAUGCUCCAGUUUCAGAGAGCUUUUUGGAAAGCUUCUUCCCUCCGUCAUUUUCUGCAAUGCAGGAGCACUUCACAUCCAGGCUCUCCCACCUCUCCUCUCCAAGGCCCACUUAUCUCAACACAGUGCCCCCGAAUUUCAGCCACACGUACCCUGAGCUGCCCUCCUUGGGGCUGCUGACAGCUGUCCUUCGGGCUGUGGUACACCUGAACAAAUUUCCACCUGCCAUUCCUACUGCUGAAAGAGGAAGACUGUGUAUUAAAGGCAGUGUAUUGUAACGGGAAGAAUACUUUCCAAGGAAUUCAGCAGAAAACUUAAGUCCUAAAGGCACAAACUGGUGAACUAAUAGGAGCGUGUUACAAGAGAGCAGACAGAUCAGAAGGAUUCCGGGAGAUCAGAUGGAGGGUUUCACUCGUAACCUACAUUUCUGAGACAGCAUUUAGAGAGCCUCAGCCUCUACACAUACAGGGAUCCUUAAGGAGCCACCAUAGGAGCUUUAGACUCCAGAGCUGAAGAUGAGAUGCAGACCUCUAAAACUCAGCUGAGCAUUUACUUCAUGCUGAUCAAGCAGGAAACUCCUGCUUAGAUUACUGAUCUGGAAAGGGCCAGAUUUCUUCUCUACAAUGCCAGUUUACAGCAUAAAUGAACAGACUUCGAGGCAAGUCACCUCUGUUCAACUAAUAUGUUUAGAAAUAGCUUCCCCUUGCAAGCAAACAGUUAGUUUAACACAAAGCUAUUGCAUAAAAUAGGCUUAAGCCAAACGACUUUUCUGGAGAGUGCCAGAAAACAGCAAGCCUCACUCUAUAGAGAAGGAGAAAGUAAGGUCAGGAAAAGCAUCAUUGCCAAAAUUCACUCCUUUUAUGCUUCGAGUUGGUAGCCAGCCCAUAGACCUAAGAAGAUGGGAGAGCAAGCGCUGCCAGAAGCAAAGACGUCCCACUCUGGUACCUGCAUCCCUGCAGCAUACAGGGUGACAGACCCCAAUGCCCAGUGAGUAAAUUUGCUCUUUUUGGCACAGUUCUGGGGAAAUAAAAGCUCUGCCAUCAGUCCCAGAUAAAGCACAGGGUUUGCUUACGGGAAGUGGCACGGAGAGGUGGGCUGAGGACUCCAUGCAAACUGCAUCUGGGCAUGGGGUCAGGAGCCCUACAGCUGCAACUGGCUUAGAGAAGAGAGAAAGAGCACCCAAAUCCCUGCUGCCAUUCCCAAGGGCUGAUCUGAGCCUGCAGAGAGCGAGCCAGGAGAUCACAGCUGCUCCUGAAACACCUUAAGGAACAUGCUAUGCCCAGCAAGCCUUCCCUCACAUUCUGCCUUUUUCUAAGUCCACAGAGAGCAGCGUGUGGAGCACUGAGCAGCUCAGUGCAAUUAAACAGCAGCUCCUGGAGCAUUUCUCUGCCAGCAGUUGUGAGGUCUGCUAGAAACCACCUGCUUUGCCACGCACACGGAGUAAAGAGGAGCAGAGGAGUGAGCCACUGGAGCACCUGCAACAGAACCAGGCGGGAGGGUGGGGGGAGCAGAGCCUGGUCCCUCAUUAACAGGAAAAAGCUGUUUGGAAGCAGGGUGUGGGUAAGAGCUCUGCUUGGAGCUGGGGAGGAGGAGCUGCUCAAUUGGUCUAAAGGAAGCGACAAGGCACUGUCCUCGCAGUGGUGGCCAAACUCUGCCCGUGGGUGCUCUUGUCCAAAAGCUUAAAUUGUAGCAGUCAUUUUAAAAAAAAAAAAAAAGAAAGAAGAAAGAAAAUCCCCAAAAGCUGCAAAACUUUUAAAAUUCAGAUUAGGAGAAGGCAGUUAGUACACUUCGCUUUCGUGAGAUACCAAGAGAAAAACCCUACUACCAGCUGCUGGUGCUGCAAGUUGGAGUAGAAACACAUAACAUAGGAACAGAAUAUCAGAAGCCACAAAGUCUUCUGUAACAUGGUGUAAGGGUAAAUAUAUGAUUGGCACGUUCUGUUCUGAGAUUGUGCUGGGUGAAGCCAAGGGAAGGGCUCCCAAAGCCAACGGGAAUGGAUGGAUGGAUGGAUGGGCAUCCAUUGCCACGGGGUCACAGCCAGCCCCGAGGGGAUGUACUGCAAUGCAGGCUGUCCCAGGAUAUGUUUCCUUGUUUCCACCAGAAAUAAUUUAUUUCCAGCUAGCAGAAACUCAUAGAGGAGCCUCCCCCCACAACGUGUGCCGUGGUCCAAGAACAGAGCAGGCUGAGCACAUGGCUCUGCCAAUCAUAUAUCUUGGGGAGUGUGAGAGAAUGAAAGUCAGAAGGGGUAGAAGGAAGAAUGCCUGCACAUCGUCAUGUUUACUGUCAACAUGCAAAAGCGUACUUAAAAAAAAAUAUUUCAUGCAAUAGCAUGCAAAAAGAAAGGCAGCAGCAGAAGAGGAAGAAAAAGUUGAGCACAGAACACAGAUCUAGGCAAACGCAACUGAAAAAAGCUUUGAGUUCAUACAAACCUCCAACAUUAAAUUGCUAUGCCUGAUAUAAAUGUUUUCACCAUCUAGUCUCUUUGAUCUCUUCUGUGAAAAUGAAAGAAAAGGGGGAACAAAAAAA